rnacentral:lncRNA from 1 species
AAUUUCUUCAAACAUUUUUUUGAGAGGAUUAAUAUUCAACAUCAUAGUGAAUUGCUCAAAGGCAAAAAAAAAUUUUAAGUUCAUUAGACCACAUUCAUUUUGUGUCAGAAACCUAUGCUGUGUCAACUAUUUAAUUUUAGAUUCAAAUAAGUUUGAAGAAGAAAUCUUUAAUUGAUUUGUAAAAUCUUGACAUUUGUUUUGUGUAAAAAACCCAUAUAAUGUCAAAAAUUUGAUCACAAUCCAAAUUCAGAGCUGUAUCACGCUUGAAUGUUUUGUCCAUACUUGCCCCAACUGUUCAGGGGUUCAACCUCUGCGGUCGUAUAAAGCUGCGCCCUGGUUGAAAUAAGAAAUCUAAACUUCUUCUUUCAUUACUGAUUUUAUACCAUACUUAAAUUGGUGGUUU